GGGAGGCCGGGAGGGGUCCCUGGGCGGGGAGUUGCUGCGCAUCUGUUGUGUGUGUGCGUCUGUCUGUCUGUUCAGGUCUGUUUUAGGCUGUGUCUGCCUGUCUCUCUGUCUGGGUCUCUUUCAGGCUGCGUCGGUCUGUCUGUCUGGGUCUGUUUCAGGCUGUGUCUGUCUGUCUGUCUGGGUCUGUUUCAGGCUGUGUCUGUCUGUCUGUCCGGGUCUGUUUCAGGCUGUGUCUGUCUGUCUGUCCGGGUCUGUUUCAGGCUGUAUGUGUGUCUGCUCUUUGCUUCUGCUCCUGGCUCUGUGUGUAUUUCCCGGGUCCUGUG
rnacentral:lncRNA from 1 species